rnacentral:rRNA from 1 species
AGAGUUUGAUCCAUGGCUCAGAACGAACGCUGGCGGCAUGCCUAACACAUGCAAGUCGAACGAACUCUUCGGAGCUAGUGGCGCACGGGUGCGUAACGCGUGGGAAUCUGCCCUUGGGUACGGAAUAACUCAGAGAAAUUUGUGCUAAUACCGUAUAAUGACUUCGGUCCAAAGAUUUAUCGCCCAAGGAUGAGCCCGCGUAAGAUUAGCUAGUUGGUGGGGUAAAGGCCUACCGAGGCUACGAUCUUUAGCUGGUCUGAGAGGAUGAUCAGCCACACUGGGACUGAGACACGACCCAGACUCCUACGGGAGGCAGCAGUGGGGAAUAUUGGACAAUGGGCGAAAGCCUGAUCCAGCAAUGCCGCGUGAGUGAUGAAGGCCUUAGGGUUGUAAAGCU